rnacentral:lncRNA from 1 species
UUUUAAAUUCACAAUCCCAAUGUUGUGUUUUAACUUUCCAACUCUACUCGCUAGUUCAUUAAUCGUUUCAUCCUCUACUACAUGAAACCUUCAGACUUGACUGCCUGUCUCUGACUGGUCAAUUUUCUCUGACUGUCAUAUUGUCUUGACCUGUCAUAUUGUCUCUGCCUGUCCUGACUGGUCAUAUUGUCUCUGACUGGUCAUAUUGUCUCUGCCCGUCUCUGACUGGUCAUAUUGUCUCUGACUGGUCAAUUGUCUUGCCCUGUCCUGACUGUCAUAUUUCUCUGCCCGUCUCUGACUGGUAAUAUUGUCUCUGACUGGUCAUAUUGUCUCUGCCCUGUCUCUGACUGGUCAUAUUGUCUCUGCCUGGUCAUAUUGUCUCUGACUGGUCAUAUUGUCUCUGACUGGUCAUAUUGUCUCUGCCCUGUCUCUGACUGGUCAUAUUGUCUCUGACUGGUCAUAUUGUCUCUGCCCCUGUCUAUGACUGGUCAUAUUGUCUCUGCUGGUCAAUGUCUCUGACUGGUCAUAUUGUCUCUGACUGGUCCUAUUGUCUCUGACUGGUCAUAUGUUCUGAUGGUCAUAUUGUCUCUGCCCUGUCUCGAUGGUCAUAUUGUCUCU